rnacentral:rRNA from 1 species
AAAGGCCGGGAUCUUCGGACCGGUCACUAUUGGAUGAGCCUGCGUAAGAUUAGCUAGUUGGUGGGGUAAAGGCCUACCAAGGCGACGAUCCGUAGCUGGUCUGAGAGGAUGAUCAGCCACAUCGGGACUGAGACACGGCCCGAACUCCUACGGGAGGCAGCAGUGGGGAAUAUUGGACAAUGGGGGAAACCCUGAUCCAGCAAUGCCGCGUGAGUGAUGAAGGCCUUAGGGUUGUAAAGCUCUUUUACCCGGGAUGAUAAUGACAGUACCGGGAGAAUAAGCUCCGGCUAACUCCGUGCCAGCAGCCUCGGUAAUACGGAGGGUGCAAGCGUUAUCCGGAAUCACUGGGUUUAAAGGGUGCGUAGGCGGCGCUAUAAGUCAGAGGUGAAAGGCCACAGCUUAACUGUGGGACUGCCUUUGAUACUGUAGUGCUUGAAUUAGGCUGAGGUCGGCGGAAUGUGACAUGUAGCGGUGAAAUGCUUAGAUAUGUCAUAGAACACCAAUUGCGAAGGCAGCUGACUAGACCUUAAUUGACGCUGAGGCACGAAAGCGUGGGGAGCGAACAGGAUUAGAUACCCUGGUAGUCCAUGCCGUAAACGUUGGGCACUAGGUGUGGGGACCAUUCCACGGUUUCCGCGCCGCAGCUAACGCAUUAAGUGCCCCGCCUGGGGAGUACGGCCGCAAGGCUAAAACUCAAA